UGGUUAGCGGCGGACGGGUGAGUAACACGUGGGCAACCUGCCUGUAAGACUGGGAUAACACCGGGAAACCGGUGCUAAUACCGGAUAAUCCUUUUCCUCUCAUGAGGAAAAGCUGAAAGUCGGUUUCGGCUGACACUUACAGAUGGGCCCGCGGCGCAUUAGCUAGUUGGUGAGGUAACGGCUCACCAAGGCGACGAUGCGUAGCCGACCUGAGAGGGUGAUCGGCCACACUGGGACUGAGACACGGCCCAGACUCCUACGGGAGGCAGCAGUAGGGAAUCUUCCACAAUGGACGAAAGUCUGAUGGAGCAACGCCGCGUGAGCGAUGAAGGCCUUCGGGUCGUAAAGCUCUGUUGUUAGGGAAGAACAAGUACCGGAGUAACUGCCGGUACCUUGACGGUACCUAACCAGAAAGCCACGGCUAACUACGUGCCAGCAGCCGCGGUAAUACGUAGGUGGCAAGCGUUGUCCGGAAUUAUUGGGCGUAAAGCGCGCGCAGGCGGUCCUUUAAGUCUGAUGUGAAAGCCCACGGCUCAACCGUGGAGGGUCAUUGGAAACUGGGGGACUUGAGUGCAGAAGAGGAAAGCGGAAUUCCACGUGUAGCGGUGAAAUGCGUAGAGAUGUGGAGGAACACCAGUGGCGAAAGCGGCUUUCCUGGUCUGUAACUGACGCUGAGGCGCGAA
rnacentral:rRNA from 2 species